AUGGCCUAAAGCGUGGUUAAAUAAAUAUUAAAAUUAAUAGAAAUAAAAAUUAACUUAACUGUCGUACGUAUUUGUUAAACGGAUACCCAAAACCGAAAGAUAUUCUAAUAAAUAAACUACUUAAACCCACGAAAGCUAAGGAACAAACUAGGAUUAGAUACCCUAUUAUGCUUAGCCUUAAACUUUGGAAACCCCGCCUGAGUACUACGAGCCACAGCUUAAAACUCAAAGGACUUGGCGGUGCUCUAUACCCCCCUAGAGGAGCCUGUUCUAUAAUUGAUACUCCCCGCUAAACCUCACCAUUUAUUGCCAAUACCGCCUAUAUACCGCCGUCGUCAGCCCACCAUUUAAAUGGAUAAUAGUAGGCAUAAUGAUAAACAUAAAAACGUCAGGUCAAGGUGUAGCGAAUUAAAUGGAAAGAAAUGGGCUACAUUUUCUAUACAGAAAAUACGAAAAAUCUUAUGAAAAAAAAUUUAAAGGUGGAUUUAGCAGUAAAAAGAAAACAUAGUGUUCUUUUUAAAUAGGCCCUAGAGCGCGCACACACCGCCCGUCACCCUCCUCAAAGAAAAAACUAAUAAUAUAAUUAAAUAAGAAUAGAAGAAGAGGAAAGUCGUAACAUGGUAAGUUUACCGGAAGGUGUACUUGGAUUAU
rnacentral:rRNA from 1 species